rnacentral:lncRNA from 1 species
UGCAUCAAACGUUUCCUUCCUUCCUCCCAUCUUUGAUGCCUUCCUUCUUUCUUCUCCACUGUGAUAGGUGCUGUGAACCUGGUGGGAAAGAAGAGAUGUGGACAGCAGUUGUCACAGCGCAGUACAUUCUGCGCCAUCGUCCUAAAGCCUAAUACAUGAACUCACUCCAAGAAUUUGCACUCCUGAUCUGAAAGAGCUGAAGAUACAACAGAACUUUGAUCAGACUCUCUACAGAGAAGUUGUAGGGGAAAAGAGGGCUCUGAACUCAAGAGGAGAAGGGCAAGUUUAUUAUUUCUAUCUUUUCAAUAAAUGCUUUACAAAUGACA